GACAACGCUGGCGGCGUGCCUAACACAUAGAGAUCGCAUGGUUUUUAUGUCAAAGAUUUAUCGCUGAAAGAUGGCCUCGCGUCUGAUUAGCUAGUUGGUGAGGUAACGGCCCACCAAGGCGACGAUCAGUAGCCGGACUGAGAGGUUGACCGGCCACAUUGGGACUGAGAUACGGCCCAGACUCCUACGGGAGGCAGCAGUGGGGAAUAUUGGGCAAUGGGCGCAAGCCUGACCCAGCAACGCCGCGUGAAGGAAGAAGGCUUUCGGGUUGUAAACUUCUUUUGUCGGGGACGAGUAGAAGACGGUACCUGGCGAAUAAGCCACGGCUAACUACGUG
rnacentral:rRNA from 1 species